ACCCGCUUGUCUCAUUUCGACCCUUUCACCUUCGCUUUCAUCGGCUAGGGAGCUGGUGGCGAUUUUGCGAUGCGGUAUCCUCUUCCUCAGAUCGGCAACCACCAACGGCUAAUCGGCGUCCUCCUUGUUGUAUCUGCGGCCUCACCUGCGGUAGCACCUGCUGCCCAUUGAUUUUGAGUGCCCAUCCAAUGCCGCAGCAAUUUGUGUGUCUGUGCCAUCAAAUUGUAUGUGUGCAAGCACACAUGCAUGUUUGUGGAUGUGUGUUUGCAUUAGAUAGAUGGAGGGAGACCGAUUACAUAUUUCAAUUCGGUCCCUUUAUUUUGUAGGAUUGCUUUAUGAUUAUUCUUAGGAAUGAAGAAGCUAGACAGAUUCUAAAGCCCCAUGUACAAGUUUUCUAGUAGUGAAGUAAAGAUUCUAUAACUAUAAAUUUUGUAAAUUAAUUACCAGUUUCAUGUUAUUAAAUUAUUUUUGUUAGUUAAUUAUCACUUUCC